CCUGCCGCCUGUGGCCAUGGAUUCACACUGCUGUCCUCUAAAAAUUGCCCUCAGCCAUUAGCGGAAGUCACAAAGUCCACAGAACGCAGGCCUUCGAUGGACAGGUGGUCCGGAAGGACAUGUUUUUGUCUGAGGCUACGGAAU